rnacentral:rRNA from 1 species
AAAAAUACGAUGUGUGAUACAGUGUAUGGAACGUCUAUAAUCUAGUAUGAGAAAUUAACGAUUUAAGUCCUUCUUAAAUGAGGCCAUUUACCCAUAGAGGGUGCCAGGCCCGUAUAACGUUAAUGAUUACUAGAAGAUGUUUCCAAAGAGUCGUGUUGCUUGAUAGUGCAGCACUAAGUGGGUGGUAAACUCCAUCUAAAACUAAAUAUAACCAUGAGACCGAUAGUAAACAAGUACCGUGAGGGAAAGUUGAAAAGAACUCUGAAUAGAGAGUUAAAUAGUACGUGAAACUGCUUAGAGGUUAAGCCCGAUGAACCUGAAUAUCCAUUAUGGAAAAUUCAUCAUUAUGUAUAUGAUAUGUAAUAAUAUUAUAGAAAUAGUGUGCAUUUUUUCCAUAUAAGGACAUUGUAAUCUAUUAACAUAAUAUAUAUUUAUCAAAAGGUCAUUUGCUUAUGUUUAUUCAAAUUAAUUUGCUUGCAAGUUAACACAGAAUAAAUGCUUAUGAUUUGAUAAAGUGUUGAUAGAUUAAUAAUAAUAUAGUGCUUAAAUACUUUUGUAUUUUACAAUGGCAUAAUUAUCUUAUGAUUUUUGUGUUAAUUGUAUGCGCUUAUAUGAUUAACAAUGCGAUAGAUUCAGGAUACCUUCGGGACCCGUCUUGAAACACGGACCAAGGAGUCUAACAUAUGUGCAAGUCAUUGGGAUUAUUUAUAUAAACCCAAAGGCGUAAUUAACUUAACUGUUUUUAAAUGGGAUUAGUUUUUAGUCAAUUUAUUGUCUAUUAAUUCAAUCCCGGGGCGUUCUAUACAGUUAUGUAUAAUAAUAUUUAUAUUAUUUAUACCUCUAACUAGAGCGUACCUUGAGCAUAUAUGCUGUGACCAAAAGGAUGGUAA